rnacentral:rRNA from 1 species
CCCUUAGAUGUUCUGGGCCGCACGCGCGCUACACUGACGGAGUCAACGAGUUGUCCUGCAUCGGAAGGUGUGGGUAAUCUUUUGAAACUUCGUCGUGCUGGGGAUAGAUCUUUGCAAUUUUCGAUCUUGAACGAGGAAUUCCUAGUAAGCGUGAUUCAUCAGAUCGCGUUGAUUACGUCCCUGCCCUUUGUACACACCGCCCGUCGCUACUACCGAUUGAAUGGUUUAGUGAGGCCUCGGGACUGGCGCGCUCGAGUAGCAAUACACCUGCGCGUCGGGAACUUGGUCAAACUUGAUCAUUUAGAGGAAGUAAAAGUCGUAACA